rnacentral:rRNA from 1 species
AUUGAACGCUGGCGGCAGGCCUAACACAUGCAAGUCGAACGAGCGGCGGACGGGUGCGUAAUGUCUGGGAAACUGCCUGAUGGAGGGGGAUAACUACUGGAAACGGUAGCUAAUCCCGCAUCCCAUCAGAUGUGCCCAGACGGGAUUAGCUGGUAGGUGGGGUAACGGCUCACCUAGGCGACUAUCCCUAGCUGGUCUGGGAGGAUGACCAGCCAAACUGGAACUGAGACACGGUCCAGACUCCUACGGGAGGCAGCAGUGGGGAAUGUUGCACAAUGGGCGCAAGCCUGAUGCAGCCAUGCCGCGUGUGUGAAGAAGGCCUUCGGGUUGUAAAGCACUUUCAGCGGGGAGGCGUUACCCGCAGAAGAAGCACCGGCUAACUCCGUGCCAGCAGCCGCGGUAAUUC